GGGCCGGUAGCUCAGUGGUAGAGCAACGGACUUUUAAUCCGUCGGUCGUGGGUUCGACCCCCACCCGGCCCU
rnacentral:tRNA from 1 species